UACGUAGGGGGCAAGCGUUGUCCGGAUUUAUUGGGCGUAAAGAGCGUGUAGGCGGUUUGGUAGGUCCGUUGUGAAAACUCGAGGCUCAACCUCGAGACGCCGGCGGAAACCAUCAGGCUAGAGUCCGGAAGAGGAGAGUGGAAUUCCUGGUGUAGCGGUGAAAUGCGUAGAGAUCGGGAGGAACACCAGUGGCGAAGGCGGCACCCUGGACCAGCACUGACACUGAGGCACGAAAGCGUGGGGAGCAAACAGG
rnacentral:rRNA from 1 species